UUCGAAAGGCAGUUUUUAGCUUGCAGAUGCGUUGCAUUGCGUACACCCAAAAUGUUCUGUGGAGAAACUCAUCAUAGAAUGAAAGAGAAGUGGAGAUCAAGAUCAUAUGUAGAAUUAAAAACCAUCCAGAUGAUUUGAAGCCAGGCUUAUUUGAAUCCAGCAACAUUGAAGAGAAGAUCUUUGCCCCAGUUCCUUAAUCACAGCAAAGCAGGAAGGAAUCUCUAGCUCUGAGUCUGGUUGUGUUAAAGCAACCUGCCCACUGCAUGACCUUCCUGGGUUUACGGGAAUGAGAGACUCUGCCACCUUAGACCACACGCCUUUGAUUUCCCCAGUUUCCAUUCUUAGGUGGAGUCCAAAAUCACCCUUAUGGGCACAACAAAGACAACGUCAGCAGUCUCCACACUGAAGGAAUCCCAAGAAUUUGGAGAGCUGUGAACCAAGAAUUUUUAUUCAAGCAAUGAAUACUUAACCAUGAUCUUAUAAUAUGUGUUUUUAUCUUAAUGAAAAUAUCAAUGUUUAAUAAAAGUGGGAUAAAAAUGGUCAAGAAUAAAGAAAGAAGAAAGCAUUAGUGUGAUAUAUUGUGGUUAGUGCUUCGUCUUUGGCAUUAAAACAAUUG